GUGUAAAAAUAAGAAUAACGUUUAUCUCAUAAGGUCAUGUAAGGAGUAGCUUGCAAAGCUCAGAGCUUCAAGUAAGAAGUGGGCCUAAAAACCCAAUUCUGGCCUCAUUUACUCUCAUUUGUUUACUCUUUUUUAGGUCUUCAAGCAGCAGCCCAAGGAAGGAGAAAUAAGGACACACAUUUUUGGCUGGAUUAGUAACAUCUUUCCUUUGUCUUCAUCCACCAGUGUUCUCGCUUCCCAGAAAGUGUGGAACAUUGGCCUUCCUUUUCAGAUUCAUGCGAAAGCUUGGAGAAAAGAACACAGACUGAAAGGAAUAUAAAUCCAAAAGAAUGAGUGAAAUGGGAAUACACAAGGCAUGAGCAAUAAGACUGUUCUGUCAGAAACAAUGAGAAUAACUGCUCUACAGCUUACAAACCAGAAACUUACACGUUGUAUCUCAUUAAAUUUUACUUUGAAUAUUGAGAACA